UACGGAGGGAGCUAGCGUUGUUCGGAUAUACUGGGCGUAAAGCGCACGUAGGCGGCGUCGUAAGUCAGGGGUGAAAUCCCGGAGCUCAACUCCGGAACUGCCCUUGAAACUGCAAUGCUAGAAUCUUGGAGAGGCGAGUGGAAUUCCGAAGUGUAGAGGUGAAAUUCGUAGAUAUUGGGAAGAACACCGAUGGCGAAGGCAGCCUCUGGACCGACACUGACGCUGAGGCGCGGAAAAGCGUGGGGAGCAAACAGG
rnacentral:rRNA from 1 species